AAAUUGAAGAGUUUGAUCAUGGCUCAGAUUGAACGCUGGCGGCAGGCCUAACACAUGCAAGUCGAACGGUAACAGGAAGAAGCUUGCUUCUUUGCUGACGAGUGGCGGACGGGUGAGUAAUGUCUGGGAAACUGCCUGAUGGAGGGGGAUAACUGCUGGAAACGGUAGCUAAUACCGCAUAACGUCGCAAGACCAAAGAGGGGGACCUUCGGGCCUCUUGCCAUCGGAUGUGCCCAGAUGGGAUUAGCUAGUAGGUGGGGUAACGGCUCACC
rnacentral:rRNA from 1 species